rnacentral:tRNA from 1 species
GUAGCUCAGAGGAUUAGAGCACGUGGCUACGAACCAUGGUGUCAUGGGUUUGAAUCCCUCC